rnacentral:rRNA from 1 species
UAUGUGAUCGUCUCUCGCAUAUCAAUAAGCGGAGGAAAAGAAACUAACAAGGAUUCCCCUAGUAACGGCGAGUGGAGCGGGAAGAGCUCAAAUUUGAAAUCUUAAAGGGUUUCCCUUUACGAAUUGUAGCUUAAAGAAGUGUUUUCUGUUGAGGUUUUGGUAAAAGUUCUUUGGAAUAGGACAUCAUAGAGGGUGAGAAUCCCGUAUUUGACCUUUACUUUCAACUUUGUGAUACACUUUCAAAGAGUCGGAUUGUUUGGGAAUGCAGUCCAAAAUGGGUGGUAAAUUUCAUCUAAAGCUAAAUAUUGGCGAGAGACCGAUAGCGAACAAGUACCGUGAGGGAAAGAUGAAAAGAACUUUGAAAAGAGAGUUAAACAGUACGUGAAAUUGUCAAAAGGGAAGCGUUUGACACCAGUGUUGUUUUUCUGAAAAUCAAUUAAAGAACUGUUUAUGCUAAGUUGUUUAGACUUUAUCAGCUAACUGUUUAGUUUUGAGCUUUUCUUUAAUGCACUUUUCAGUUAACAAGUCAACAUCAAUUUCUUUUGCUGUAAAAAAGCUUGAGGAAGGUGGCUUGAGAUUCGUCUUAAGUGUUUAUAGCCUCUUGCCUAUGCAGUCGGAGAGAUUGAGGUCUGCAGCGUAGAUCCUUCGGGGCUAAAUGCAUUUGUGCUAAGUUAUAGCAUUUUAUAGACAACUUGUUGACUAUGAUUUGUCUUGUAGCUUACUCGCUUAUGUUAUUUUACCUACGCUUAGGAUGUUGAGUAGCGACAUACGCAC